GCAAGGAGCUCGCUGCUCAAUCCAAACGGGUUAAGGGCACCCACAUACAUUUUCAAAUGAGUCUUAGGACAAGUGGUUCCAUCAAAUUUGUCCAUGUUGGGCAUUUUGAAUUUUGUGGGCAGUCUUGCUUCGGGGAACAAGGACAAGGAGUCCAUGUCCACCACUUCCUUGUGGGUCUUAAGGGCAGUAACAGAUCUUUCCAGCA
rnacentral:lncRNA from 1 species